AUCGAUGAAGAACGCAGCGAAAUGCGAUAACUAGUGUGAAUUGCUGAAUUCCGUGAAUCAUCGAGUCUUUGAACGCCCAUUGCGCCCCCUGGUAUUCCGGGGGGCAUGCCUGUCCGAGCGUCAUU
rnacentral:rRNA from 1 species